GGAAGUAAAAGUCGUAACAAGGUUUCCGUAGGUGUACCUGCGGAAGGAUCAUUAUUGAAGACAAAGGUUGCUGCUGGCCUUUAGGGGCAUGUGCACGCCUUGCUUUAAAACCACCUGUGCACUUUUUUGUAGACUCUUUUGGUCUAUGGCAAUAUAUAUCACAACCCCGUAUUCAGAUUGUUAUUGUUAUAAUCGAAACCAUAUACAACUUUCAGCAACGGAUCUCUUGGCUCUCGCAUCGAUGAAGAACGCAGCGAAACGCGAUAAGUAAUGUGAAUUGCAGACACGUGAAUCAUCGAAUCUUUGAACGCACCUUGCGCUCCUUGGUAAUUCCGAGGAGCAUGCCUGUUUGAGUGUCAUUAAAUUCUCAACCUAACCAGCUUUUGGAUAGGCUUGGACUUGGGGGGUCUUGCUGGCUUCAUUAGCAGUCAGCUCCCCUUAAAUGCAUUAGUGGAACCGUUUGUUGACCUGUUUCCCUGGUGUGAUAAAUCUUUUAUCAUCACCGUGUGCGGUCAAUGGGUGUCCUGCUUCUAAUAUUAAUCCCUUUCAAACCUUGACCUCAAAUCAGGUAGGACUACCCGCUGAACUUAAGCAUAUCAAUAAGCGGAGGA
rnacentral:rRNA from 1 species